UGCAAGUCGCACGAGGCCGGCCCGGGGCGCAAGCCCGGGGCCGCGUCGAGUGGCGCAAGGGGCAGUAAGGCGUGGGCAACCUGCCCCCAGGACCGGCACAGCCCCGGGAAACCGGGGGUAAUUCCGGGCGACGUGAGGCGGGCGCCUGCCCGCCCCACCAAAGGCCGCAAGGCCGCCUGGGGAGGGGCUCACGUGGUAUUAGCUGGAGGCGGGGUGACGGCCCACCGUGGCGUAAUGCCUAGCGGGUGUGAACACGACCCGCGCCACUGGCACUGAAACACUGGCCAGACUCCUACGGGAGGCUGCGUCGAGGUCUUCGCUGGGCGCAAGCCUGACCGAGCGACGCCGCGUGGAACGAAGCCUUCUUGUAAACUCCUGUCAGGGGGAGAAGGCCCCCAAGGCUUGACCUACCCUGAGGAAGCACGGGUAAUUCGGCCACAGCCCGGUAAGACAACCGUGCGAACGUGUUCGAAUCACUGCUUA
rnacentral:rRNA from 1 species